rnacentral:rRNA from 1 species
AUUGAACGCUGGCGGCAGGCCUAACACAUGCAAGUCGAGCGGAUGAAGGGAGCUUGCUCCUGGAUUCAGCGGCGGACGGGUGAGUAAUGCCUAGGAAUCUGCCUGGUAGUGGGGGAUAACGUCCGGAAACGGGCGCUAAUACCGCAUACGUCCUGAGGGAGAAAGUGGGGGAUCUUCGGACCUCACGCUAUCAGAUGAGCCUAGGUCGGAUUAGCUAGUUGGUGGGGUAAAGGCCUACCAAGGCGACGAUCCGUAACUGGUCUGAGAGGAUGAUCAGUCACACUAGAACUGGGACACGGUCCAGACUCCUACGGGAGGCAGCAGUGGGGAAUAUUGGACAAUGGGCGAAAGCCUGAUCCAACCAUGCCGCGUGUGUGAAGAAGGUCUUCGGAUUGUAAAGCACUUUAAGUUGGGAGGAAGGGCAGUAAGUUAAUACCUUGCUGUUUUGACGUUACCAACAGAAUAAGCACCGGCUAACUUCGUG